AUUGAACGCUGGCGGCAGGCUUAACACAUGCAAGUCGAGCGGAGAUGAGGUGCUUGCACCUUAUCUUAGCGGCGGACGGGUGAGUAAUGCUUAGGAAUCUGCCUAUUAGUGGGGGACAACAUUCCGAAAGGAAUGCUAAUACCGCAUACGUCCUACGGGAGAAAGCAGGGGAUCUUCGGACCUUGCGCUAAUAGAUGAGCCUAAGUCGGAUUAGCUAGUUGGUGGGGUAAAGGCCUACCAAGGCGACGAUCUGUAGCGGGUCUGAGAGGAUGAUCCGCCACACUGGGACUGAGACACGGCCCAGACUCCUACGGAGGCAGCAGUGGGGAAUAUUGGACAAUGGGGGGAACCCUGAUCCAGCCAUGCCGCGUGUGUGAAGAAGGCCUUAUGGUUGUAAAGCACUUUAAGCGAGGAGGAGGCUACUGAGACUAAUACUCUUGGAUAGUGGACGUUACUCGCAGAAUAAGCACCGGCUAACUCU
rnacentral:rRNA from 1 species